CUCUAAUAAACCCCUUUAAUGCCUGGUGCUUAAAGUUUUUAUUUCAUCAAUGGCUGCAUAUUUGAUCCAUGACAACUCUGAGGGGAGUGAAUUUUUUUCUAAGUUUGUAAUUUUUUUUAAAAAACGGCAUUUAUUUUCGCUUAAUGAGGAGGCGCGGCCUUUGAUUGACAAGUGACGAUCGCGGUGGAUUCUGGGAGCAAUGCUCCGGUGUUUAGCUGGUCUGCUACAGAUUUAGCGUUAGCAUGAGCGCUAUAUUUCGGUUUUUGUCCUGCUGCCGUGAUGUAAACUGUUCUAAUACGCUCUCUGGGAGUCAUCUGGUGUCUUUUCCCUGGUCUGCUUCUGGUGGUGAGCGGAUUCAUAAUCCAAAAUAAUCGAGCAUUUACAUUUAAAGGCAGUAAAAUUCUAAUUUUAACAUAUGAAGAUGACUCCUGCUGAUGUGUGAUUCAAUAAAAAUCAUGUUUAACAUAU